AGUAACGCGUGAGGAACCUGCCUUCCAGAGGGGGACAACAGUUGGAAACGACUGCUAAUACCGCAUGACACAUGACCGUGGCAUCACGGACAUGUCAAAGAUUUAUCGCUGGAAGAUGGCCUCGCGUCUGAUUAGCUAGUUGGCGGGGUAACGGCCCACCAAGGCGACGAUCAGUAGCCGGACUGAGAGGUUGGCCGGCCACAUUGGGACUGAGACACGGCCCAGACUCCUACGGAAGGCAGCAG
rnacentral:rRNA from 1 species